rnacentral:rRNA from 1 species
UACAGAGGGUGCGAGCGUUGUUCGGAAUUACUGGGCGUAAAGCGCGCGCAGGCGGCUUUCUAAGUCCGUCGGUGAAAGACCGGGGCUCAACCCCGUGUCAGCCAUGGAUACUGGGAGGCUGGAGACAGGUAGAGGCAAGCGGAAUUCCGGGUGUAGCGGUGGAAUGCGUAGAUAUCAUGAGGAAUACCAGAGGCGAAAGCGGCUACCUGGACAAUUGCUGACGCUCAGGCACGAAAGCGUGGGGAGCAAAAGGG